AUUUAUUUCUUAUGUAGAAGAUAAAAUAAAAAUAAAAAUAAAAUGAAACAAACAGAAACGUAAAUCUAAAAAAAAUCACCUUCAAAAGUCUGUUUUGUUUUUUUAUUUCAAUAAUCGUAAAAGCAAAGGAAGAAGAAGUUCUUCCUUACAGUAGAUUCGGUUUUAACCAAAAGAAAAGAAAAAUAAAAGAGAAAAAAAAUUCCCCCGAUUACAGUGAUUUUGCCCCCC
rnacentral:lncRNA from 1 species